GUACACAAAAAUGCACAUGCUGUGAGCUCGAUGAGUAGGGCGGGACACGUGGUAUCCUGUCUGAAUAUGGGGGGACCAUCCUCCAAGGCUAAAUACUCCUGACUGACCGAUAGUGAACCAGUACCGUGAGGGAAAGGCGAAAAGAACCCCGGCGAGGGGAGUGAAAAAGAACCUGAAACCGUGUACGUACAAGCAGUGGGAGCACGCUUAGGCGUGUGACUGCGUACCUUUUGUAUAAUGGGUCAGCGACUUAUAUUCUGUAGCAAGGUUAACCGAAUAGGGGAGCCGAAGGGAAACCGAGUCUUAACUGGGCGUUAAGUUGCAGGGUAUAGACCCGAAACCCGGUGAUCUAGCCAUGGGCAGGUUGAAGGUUGGGUAACACUAACUGGAGGACCGAACCGACUAAUGUUGAAAAAUUAGCGGAUGACUUGUGGCUGGGGGUGAAAGGCCAAUCAAACCGGGAGAUAGCUGGUUCUCCCCGAAAGCUAUUUAGGUAGCGCCUCGUGAAUUCAUCUCCGGGGGUAGAGCACUGUUUCGGCAAGGGGGUCAUCCCGACUUACCAACCCGAUGCAAACUGCGAAUACCGGAGAAUGUUAUCACGGGAGACACACGGCGGGUGCUAACGUCCGUCGUGAAGAGGGAAACAACCCAGACCGCCAGCUAAGGUCCCAAAGUCAUGGUUAAGUGGGAAACGAUGUGGGAAGGCCCAGACAGCCAGGAUGUUGGCUUAGAAGCAGCCAUCAUUUAAAGAAAGCGUAAUAGCUCACUGGUCGAGUCGGCCUGCGCGGAAGAUGUAACGGGGCUAAACCAUGCACCGAAGCUGCGGCAGCGACGCUGAUGCGUUGUUGGGUAGGGGAGCGUUCUGUAAGCCUGCGAAGGUGUGCUGUGAGG
rnacentral:rRNA from 1 species